UUCACGCAGUGUGUCUCUUACCUCGCUCUUGCAUCGGGUGUACGGCUCAUAUUUGUAGGAAAAGGAAGUAAAUGAAAUGUAUUCAGUGUUUAGCCAAGUUUAUCUGGACGCAGAUGUAACGCUAGCUAGCUAACAAGGCUUCUUUUCUCCCAAGCUAGCACGCCAGUCUGUCGUUUCCAUGGAGUCCCCGGCGUUUCCGCUUGAGCAGUGUAUUCUGGGAGGUUGAGUCGUUGGUUGACUUUACUUUUUCUCUUCGCCCUUUCAUGUUUCUUGAAGUUAUAUCUAGAGUUGCAUGUUCUUUACAACUACUUUUUAAUUGGAGUGAAGUGUGGAGCUCCUGAGAGGACGAAAAAAGUCAGCUCAAGAUACUGGCUAAGAUACCAUGCAAGGGGAUGGCCAACCCAUCAGAAGCAGUUGGGGUCUGGUUAUUGCUCAAUGGCAGUAGGAACUUGAAUCGAACCGCUGACCCUGCCAUUAUUGCACAGCCGCUCUACCUGCUGAGCCACAGCUACAUUCCUGUGAUUUGGCAGAGGGACACAGCACUGCUCUCUUGCAGGAAUUAACCCAGAAAUAUCCAGUG